CGUAGGUGAACCUGCGGAAGGAUCAUUAUAUUCAGUAGCCUGGCUACUUGUUUAUACCCUUGUUUUUUGCGUACCUAUUGUUUCCUCGGCGGGCUUGCUCGCCGGUUGGACAAAACUUAUAACCUUUUUGAAAUCUUCAAUCAGCGUCUGAAUUAUACAUAAUAAUUACAACUUUCAACAACGGAUCUCUUGGUUCUGGCAUCGAUGAAGAACGCAGCGAAAUGCGAUAAGUAGUGUGAAUUGCAGAAUUCAGUGAAUCAUCGAAUCUUUGAACGCACAUUGCGCCCCUUGGUAUUCCAUGGGGCAUGCCUGUUCGAGCGUCAUUUGUACCCUCAAGCUUUGCUUGGUGUUGGGCGUCUUGUCUUUUCCCUCGCGAUUAGACUCGCCUUAAAGUAAUUGGCAGCCAGUGUUUUUGGUAGUAAGCGCAGCACAAUUUGCGUCUUAGUCCCUCAACUGCGGCAUCCAUAAAGCCUCUUUCUCACUUUUGACCUCGGAUCAGGUAGGGAUACCCGCUGAACUUAAGCAUAUCAAUAAGCGGAGGAAAAGAA
rnacentral:rRNA from 1 species